ensembl:lncRNA
CUGGGCUCUGGGAGCUUAGAGGAAGGCGUAGCUACAGAUCGCUAGCGCUCUCUCUCUCUCUCUCUCUCUCUCUCUCUCUCUCUCUCUUUCUCUCUCUCUCCUUCCCUCCCCCCCUUGGUGUUUCUUCCAGCUCAGCCUCCUUCUCAUUGCAUCUCUACGUGCCCAGAGCUUCAAAUACAACCCUCCCAUCACAAUCAGACUGGCACAAAACUUCAACCAGCCGUUUCUCUGCCAGGAAGUGGUGGAGAUGGAACCUGGAUGGGUGACUAAAUUGCAUGGAGCCAUUAGGGUGAGUCCCAAUUCAACGUGACUGGUGUCUUUCUGAGAAGAGGAGACCACGUGAAGACAGGGGAGCGGACACCAUCUACAAGCCCAGGAGAGAGGCUCUGGAGAAACCAACCCUGCCACAACUUCACUGCAGACUUCUGACCUCCAGAAUGGUUCUAGUCUCUGCUAUACUUCCUGUACCAAUGUCCUCAGGACAUGGAAAGUUCUUCAAAAGCAGAGGGUGUGCCUGUCUUGAUGACCACUCACUGUCCAUACUCAGCACAGAACAGAGAUCGAACUCGGGACCUUGAGCUUGCGAGGCAGGCGGUGGAACCACUGAGCUAAAUCCCCCACCCUGAUGUUUCUUUUCUUUAUGGCGAUGCUGGGGGUUGAACCUUGCAUAUGCUCGGGAAGGGCUCUACCAUUGAGCCCUGGCCCAGGCCUGCUCUUCAUUUAAGCACCAUCUUCCAAGUGGUAAGGCACCGAGGGACUCUGAUUUGGCCCCAGGAGCUGACUGGAGUCGUCACGUCAGGGCAGGACAGUGACUGUGGGAAUGGAUAGCUCUGUCACCUGCAGAGCUGACUGCAGUUCUCUUCAGGGCAUUCUCCACACAGGAAUAUUACAGUGCACCGGAGAGACCAUGCCCGAGACAGGCAGGCCCGCAUCUGUUCCCCCAGCCAGUGCCAGGCUGCAGCAGCCUGCUCUCUGCUUCUGUGUGCACAGCCAGGCCUCAGGUAGAUCUCAGGUUUCUUUGCUCUUCUCAAGCUUGAAAUAACUGAGCUAUAGCAAAGGGGGUGGGGAGAAGAACCGGGAGGGAGGGGGAGGGGGAGAAGAACCGGGAGGAGGAGGAGCAGGAGAAAGAGAAGGUAGGUGCCUCAGACGUGAGGUCUGGCCCUGCCUGAGCAAGGGCCAAACGCAGAAUGCACUUGGCCCUGGUGGAGACCCUUGCCCCAGUCGGUUUCUGCAGCCCUUAGAAUGGCAGGGGCCUCUGCAAAGUGGACAGGAGCUCUGUCUUGGGAUUUGAGGGAACCAGAUGAGUUCCUGGCCCAGCUGAGCCACUGCAGUUUGGGUUUCUGUCUCUUUUGCUUCUAGCUGUGGCUGCCCGCUCCCGAUUCCUCCGGAAAGGCAGCUCCUAAUUAGAAUGAAUCAAAAUCUUUGCUUCGGCUUUGGUCUCAGGCUUGAUGGCACUGUUGCUUCAGGACUUAAUCUGGUGCAGCCGCCAAUGUGCCGGGUCCCCAGGGCUCGGGCUGCUGGCGUGUGUUAGGGGCACUGAGGGAUCUUGGGGCUGCCCUGCACCUCUCACCCCAGGCCUCCCUUCCUUUGCAGAGUUUCUCUCCACCUGCUUUCUCUUCCUUUCAUUAGCAACCCCAGGCCGUCCAGGGCUGCCACUCUCUGCCAGUGGGAGUGUGAAUUGGAUUGGAACCAUUUCUCUGGAGGGUAAUUUGUCACAUGCUAUUAGAAGCCUUAAAAAAGCAUGUCAGCUUUGACCUGGAAAGUCCCCCUUCUGGGCAUUUGUCCUGUAGAAAUAACUGGACGGGGGUCCACAACUCAGUGCAAAAGGACAUUGUCUUUAGUGCUUUUCAGGAGUGACAACCUGGAAACCUGGUGCUUAUCAACAGAGGAUUAUUAAAAACGGUCCUGCAAUGGACCAAGUGGGAAGUAAUGAGGGAAAUCUGAACAUGGAUUGAAUAUUAGAGGUGCCUAAGAAAUUAUUUUAUUAGCAGUGAUAACAGCCAUGUGAUUGAUACAGAAACACAUGACAGGAGCGUUGCAAUUUGGUUUAAAUGAUUAUGACAAUGACAGAAGCAGGGAACAGAGUGAAAGGAAGGGGCCAAAACCUGAAAUCUGCCUGUUGGGUCCACGAGAGUUCAUUGUGUUGUUCUCUUUGUAUCUUUCAAUUUUUCUUUUCACGCUUUGACAAGAAAUAGAAUGUCCAUUUCGAAGUACAUUUUUGACUUGAACUAAUGUCCACGAGAUACUGUUAAGUGAAAAGGGUAAGUUCCAAAUAGCAGACGUGACAAGGUCAUAUAUUUUUGGUUUCAAAAUAUAUACACAUUUUUCAAUGAAGAAGAAACAGACUGGAAGGGCACAUCCCCCGGUGUUAAUGGAGGCCAGCUCUGAAAGGUAGGAUUUGAAUAAUUUCCAUCUAUUUAUGUAUUUAUUUAAAAAAAAUUUGUAGGACAAGGUCUUGCUCAGGCUGGGGUUGAACUCACUGUGUAGCCCAGACUGGCCUGUAACUCAUGGCAAUAUUCCUGCCUCAGCCUCCCAAGUGCCAGGAUUACAGGCAUGUGCUACCAUGCCUGGCUAAUUUUCAUUUAGAAUGGAUUCAUUUCCAUUUUCUUUCAGCAGUUACUUUUCUUCUUCCUCCUCCUCCUCCUCCUCCUCCUCCUCCUGCUCCUCCUCCUCUUCUUCUUCCCAUUAAGCAUACAUUAUUGUCAUGCUAACAAAAAACAAUAGUUACCUCAGACAGUUUGGAAAUCACCUACUAUGCGGUAUUGGCCAGCUUUCUGUCACUGUGAGAAAAUACCCAAGAACAAAAACCUAAAAGAGGAAAGGUUGAUUGGAGCUGCUGGUUUCAGAGGUUUCGGUCCAUGGCUCCUUGGCUUCGCGCCUGAGGACCCACAAGAAGGAUGAGGUGCAGUCUGCCCUCCAGAAACGGAGUCUUCAUUCACUCUCCCAGUCUCCUCUUCCAUCUGCCCCAGGCACUCCCCUUUGAACCCCUAGAGACAGUUACAUAAUGGCUUUGGUAAAACUGCGCUUUUCCUAUCACUGGUGAAACUCAAAAACUGGUGUUCGAUAUUUUCUCCUAAUGAGCUGCCUAGUCUUCUCGCCUUUUUAGAUGGAAACAAGCUCCCUGCUACUGUCCUCUUCAUAUUUAUCAGCUCUGUUUACUGGCAGAGCGGAAGCGUGAACCGGCAUCGUAUACAUAAAUAUCAUAAAAUCCACAGAGGGCCAGCGAGCCUGAAUUCUUAAUCCUGGCUCCAUUGCUAACAAUUUGUAACCUGAACAAGUCUUUCUCACUCUGUUUUUUCUGACUCCAAAGUAAAUAAAGGAUAAUGCAUUUUUAAAAAAUCAAUUGGUGCUCA